CAUUCAAUCUUGAUUGUUUGUCAUAUAAUAACGUUGUUUGACACUUGACUUCAUUGUUUGUCAUUCAUCAAAACCUAUACCUGGAAAUUAUGCUAAUACAACCAAAGCACACAUAUCAUGGAUAGAAUGAUACAUAUCAUGGAUAGAAUGAUUUCCUACACAAUAAACUAGACAUAUUCUCCCGAAUUACGUUAGCUGGCCUUAAGUACAUCUCACUCAGAUUGCACCAAGAUUUUGUUAUCCCUAGUCCCACCUUUAAAACCUUCAUAUUAAUCCCUCAUGUACGUUAGCAAUGAUUUUGUUCAAUAACCAUCUAAAUAUGCACUCUCUCCCGAGUAAUACAUACUAAAUAGGAAUAAUUAAUUGAGGUCCCUUCAAUCGACAGAAAUUAGCAUAUAGUUGAACAAAUAGAGAGAAUAGUAUGGAAAAUCUAUAUUAACGUAACAAGAAAAUCAUCCUCUAACGGGUUCCAUCAAAACCCUAGAUUAGGAGUUUAGCUACUCAUACUCAUAUUAACAAUAUCAAAGUAUUUUGCAUAAUAACAUUACAAAGUAAGGAUAAAGGGAUGUAGAAAUCGUUGAUUCUAAAUCCCAAGUAGUGUUCCACGAGAUAUCCUUGCCUCCGGUUGCAAAAGUUCUUCAAAGUAGAAUUUUAGGUCUAUUUAUAUAUUUAGGACAAGAUUUAAAUGUGUAGGUCAAAUCCCAGUCAAGACAGGAAAAAAAUUAAGUCUUCAAAACUAGGACUAGACCUCGCCUUAGGCCUAGCGUCGUCAACCUAACGCCUGGUAAAUCUGGCCCCAGGCCUGGGGUCGCAAUCCUAACGCCUGGUAAAUCUGGCCCAAGGCCUGGGGUCGCAAUCCUAACGCCUGGUUCUACUUGGCCUUUUCCUUGUGUCACCAGCCUAACUCCAACCUCAAGACUGGACUUUGCCUUACAUCUCCAGCCUCACGCCAGCUUCAAGCCUGGCAUCGCUAGGUUCUCUCAUUCACUGCUCCUACGCAAAAUUUUGACUUGUAGGUCUCUUUUUUCUUCUUCUUUCAUCUCCAAUUCACAUACACAUAAAAUGGACUCUACUACAUACAAAUAAGGUGUACUUUAUCGUUAAAACGUAUAAAAAUGCAAGUUGAAUAAUGUAGUAAACUAUGAAAUAUAGCUACAUAUCAAUAUCUCACACUUAAACGUUGCUCGUCCUCGAGCAAUGAAAUUAUACUUAUAGACAUAACCUAUUAAGGAAUUCCAUUAACUCAUUAUAUCAAGAAUCUUUAAAAUAGUUUAAGUACAAAGGUGUGACAUCCUCGCAUCAAGAAUCAACUCACAAAUAUCAUGCCUUAUUCCCAAUUCACUUAAUUACUCUAACAUAGAAGUCAACAACAUUACCUUUCCUUUAUGAAUCAUGUACCUUCACCCAAUCAAAGAGCUUAGUCCCACACACAAUGAAUUUUAAUAACGUAGGAACUCAAGGUAGGAAAAAAACCACUCUCUCUCUCUCUCAGAAACAAUCUUCAUUUGCCCUACAUGAUGCACCAUAAGCUUGCCCGUAGUGUAAUACAAAUCGAGUUCAUUCAGUAUAAGAACAAAUAGGACUUUCAUUGGUUGUAAUGUAGGCUCCGAGUCGGGAAUGGUACAUUUGAAUCUAAGUGACUACACCUCCCUUAAGAACUUUAAUACAAACACUUUAACCUUCAAGCCCAUACUUAUGCUAAACCAAAACUUCACCUUAACUUCACUAUUUUUACCCCUACUUCUUUAAGCACCAGUACAUCAAAAGCCACCACCAUCAGGAAUUAUUUUUCAUACACUACAACUAUUAUAUUUAUUUAGUUUUUCUUCCUUUUUUCUUUUUUUUUUUCUAUCCAAAUGGAUUUUGUUGGCACAUUUUUUUUCUUUCAAAUGGUGCACCUUUAUCCUUAUUUCACUUGUUCCACUCAAAAGCCAACCCACUACCUCACACUUUAACUUUUUCAUAAUUCAUUACAAUUAAAACGCUCAUGAGAGGUGACAUGGUUCAAAUAUAUGGUCGAUUCAAAUAAAGGAAUACGACUUGUAGUACGGUUACCAAAAAAACAAGAUUAUAGGCUCACAGAGGUUAACUACGAUACAUAAAAUUUAGGUGAGUACUCUAUAUAUAUCUAGCUUAACAAAGAAUUUUCUAUAUCACUUCUCAGACUGAACAAGACUACUAUUUCUCUUUGCACAUACACGGGGCAAGUUCUAAACAUUAAAUGCAAUGCACAUAAUACAUUCAAACCUCACAUAGACAUGAAGACAAAUUAAGUCUUCAAAACUCGAACUGGACCUCGCCCCAGGGUUGCUAGCCUGACGCCUGAAAAACCUGGCCCCAGGCCUGGAAUCACAGUCCUAACGUCUGGUUAUAACUUCAGUAAUUGAGGGGGAGAAUUAUCAAAAAAAAGUGUAGUAAUUAUAAGGUAGGGAAGAGACGGCUUCAGAGGAUGAUAACUUUAAUAAUUGAGAUGAUAUAAGAAAAACAAUUAAGAGAGAAGUGGUAUUUAUAAGAUGAGCUAGACAAGUAUUAUACUCACAAAAGUGAUCCCACUAAAUUCAAGUUAUAGCAAUACACAUGCCAACUUUUAUUUACUUUUAAUGAUUUCAAAUGGAGGAGAAAGAAGUAUACAGACAUUAUUCUAAACUCAAUCACUAAAAUAGCAAGUAGAUGUUCUUAGCCCAAAAAAUGAACAUGGAGACCAAUUAAUUUAUUUACUUUUAAUGAUUUCAAAUGGAGCACUAAAUUCAAGUUAUAGCAAUACACAUGCCAACUUUUAUUUACUUUUAAUGAUUUCAAAUGGAGGAGAAAGAAGUAUACAGACAUUAUUCUAAACUCAAUCACUAAAAUAGCAAGUAGAUGUUUUUAGCCCAAAAAAUGAACAGGGAGACCAAUUAAUGAGUUGACUCUAAGUCAUAUGAACUUAAUAUUUUGGUCGUAUUCAAUUGUUGCGCACAAUAGGAAACUACCUUUUCUCUAUAUGUUUGAAACUUUUGAGCUGAUUGUAUUCUUCUCCGCCAUAUGUGAUUCCUAUAUUCGAGAACAACAAAUUAGCAGACAAAUUGUUACAAUUGGAACGUCAAUUAUAAAGAAAUAACAAGUAAAUAGUGAAUCCAAUAUAAACCGAAGUGCUAACGUAAUCAUUCGCGGCAUUAUCUCUUCCUAGAUCUUUUUGCUAUGUUAAAUAACAAUCUUAUCUCCAAAAAUAAAUAUUCUGUAUUUUUUUCAAAAAUCAUGUACUUGAAUUACAGCUUGUUGUAAUACCCAAUGUCGCAGCAUGUUAUUCUUUUGCAUAACUUAUUGUUCAACUAUAACCAGUAGGACUUAAAUGUAUUGUCAUAGACAAAUGUUAAUAGGUUAACAACAAUUGAUCAAAAUCCUCAUAAGAAGUUUGACUAAUGAAAAAGUAUGGAGCUAAGUAAAAAGAUUUAGUUGCUUCUCAGAAUCAACAGAGAGACAAGUUAUACAAAUAUUUCUUUUACAUAGCGUGUCAUUAGCAGCAUGUUUCUCAUUAUAACUUUUAAUUGAAAGUAAUAGGUACCCAAAAAGAAUAGCAUUUCAAAACCCAAUAAAAAAAUUCUUGAAGACAACUUAAAAAAGAAAAGAGAGAACAAGGCAUAAAGUUAUUUAUAUUAUUUAAUAUCUUAUGCGAGCAUUGGUUAUGUCGCCGAUAAGCUAAAUUAUGGUUGAAAUGUGAUAUGCACAUCCUGCAAGUUCAAAUAGGCGGACAUUGUACCACUGAAUCCAUAGUUUUUAUUUGGUAAGAAUGAAAACUCUGAGUUGUGAAUUAAAUAAAAAAUACUUAUAUUUGAAAUGUGAAGUUCCUAAUUCAACAACAAUCAUGAUUAUAAGGUAACUGAUCCAUAGAAACAUAUUUGUGUUAUUCACAUGGCAGCCACCGAAACAAGUAAAUGGCGUUAAGAAAAACAACCUCCACAACUUCUCAAUUUUUUUCCAGUUAACCAUACAAUGAUUCAAAAACUAACCACCAAUUAUAAUAUUUAUGAUCCUAAAAUUCCUUACGCUGCACUGACUAUACAUUGACAACCCACUAUGCAUAUUACGGGACUCCUAAAAGUAUUUUAAUAGUCAAAAUAAUAAAAUAAAGGAAUCAAAAGUACAAAAGCUGCCAUUUCUAAUCGUGGAAUCAACUUUGAACCUCAUUCAAGAGGAGAUUGGAAGAAGAAUCAAAAGAGAAAUAAUGAAAACACAAAAAUCAGUGAGCGCAAGAAGAGGACUAUAAGAGCAUUGAGGAGGAGUCAAUGUGGAAUGUAGUCCGGCAAUGAAAAUCAAAUCUGAAAGGGGGUUAUACAUCAAAAUUUUAAAUUAACAAUUAGUAAAUUUCACCUGUUUUAAACUUUAAAAAAUUACAACAUUUCAAGGGGGUUAUACCUCAAAUUUAGCAGAGAAUCGACCUUCGACGGAUUAAUUAUGAUAUAUUAAAAAGGAAAAAAUAAAAUAUAAACCCUUCAAAAAUAACAAUUGAAAGGAUAUACCUCAAUAUUCAUGUUCAACAGUUCGAAAGAUCCGAGAAUACUCUAUCCCGGUAGACGAUUGCUGCUCCAAGAGUUCAUUCAACAAAAAGCAACAUACAAGUUUAUCCCAAAUUGUGAAUCACAAAAUUGUGUUCAAAGUGUUCAUUCAACAUAAAGCAACAUACAAGUUUAUCCCAAAUUGUGAAUCACAAAAUUGUGUUCAAAGUCUGAUUAGAGAUAAGAAAAAGCAAAAUUCGUAAAAGAAAAUAUGAAGGGUAUGAAAAAGAUUGUAAGAGAUAUCUACUGCUAAUGGUAUACAAUUGCGGCUAGAACUCAUUAGCAAAUGGCAUAUGAUUAACAAAGUAAUAGUGAAAG
rnacentral:lncRNA from 1 species